AACAACCCGUCCACCUGCACAUCUUAGCAUGCACCGAGGACGGUGCAAUCUUUAAGUGUGGGGAGGUCGAUACUGAUCUCCAUGGGUUUUAUAGGGCGUGAAUGAUUUGGAGAUUGAAAAGGAAGCUUGCAAAAAUGGAAGGAACACAAGAAAUUGAGAAGAUGACCAGCGAGAAGUGACGCGGACGCAUGACUCAUGCGACCGCGCAACAUAGAGGAAAUUGCAGUGACGUGGACGCAUGGCUCACGCGACCGCGCGGAUCGGAAUUGCACAAGUGAUGCGGAGGUGUGGACGACGCGUACGCGUGGCAAGGCAAAACGCCAGAUGACGCGUCCGCAUGAAUGACGCGAUCGCGUGACACGCGCGAUCUGCAGAAUUCGUUGGGGGCGAUUUUGGGCCCUGUUUUGACCCAGUUUUCGGCCCAGAAAAGCAGACUAGAGCUAGGAAACAUGUAGAAACGAAGGAGAACAUUCAUUACAGACAAUUUUUUCAGUUUUAGAUCUAGUUUUGACUCCUCUAGGUUUUCUCUCUACACAUUCAUAAUUUUUAGGAUU